AAAGAAAGUCAGAACUUUUUCAGAGUGAGUUCGUCGAAUGGCAACCAUCUCCUAAACGACAAUACAACUCUGCAGCAGGAUCACAGUCAGAAACAGAAAUACUGUCUGAUGUCAAAGACAUAAUGAGACGUGUCAGUGAAAGACUACAUGGCCGUGACAAGCUCAGCGCUUUCCUAAAGACUACCCCCGGACCACCAACGUUUGAGCCUCCUCCUGCCUUUCCUGCUCGCCUUCACCAGCCUCGUUCACAGGAUGGACCUUCCUCUGCCUGUUCUCUCCCUCCCAGGUUCAGUCGUGCGGGUC
ensembl:lncRNA